rnacentral:rRNA from 1 species
UACGUAGGGGGCAAGCGUUAUCCGGAUUUACUGGGUGUAAAGGGAGCGUAGACGGCCUUGCAAGUCUGGUGUGAAAGCCCGGGGCUCAACCCCGGGACUGCAUUGGAAACUGCAUGGCUGGAGUGCAGGAGAGGUAAGCGGAAUUCCUAGUGUAGCGGUGAAAUGCGUAGAUAUUAGGAGGAACACCAGUGGCGAAGGCGACUUACUGGACUGUAACUGACGUUGAGGCUCGAAAGCGUGGGGAGCAAACAGG